GCGGAGACUGGGCGUGACUGGGCGCGACUUCCGGAAGAAGGGCGCGCCCGCUUGCCGGUAGGAAAGAGAGACGAGAAAUUCUUUGCUGGCCAAAUCUCUUGCUGGCCAAUGAUCAACUCUUUCCAAGCUGAGUUUUCUUUACUGUUAUACAGGACUAUCAUGAAGAUGCAUUGAAAGUUACACACACUGGAGGAGUGUGAUAUCCCUUUCAGUUGGUAAUCUUCCUGUCGUGAAAGUUGCUUGCCAGCUUUACUUUUGAAUGAACACAGUAAACACCAAGCUCUUCUCAGGAUUGAGAUAUGGAAAGAUCCUUCUGUCCUUUACCACACAGUUCCUUUGUCAGGAAUUCCAGGAUUUCCUCCAAGUUUGCAAGCUAAUUGAAAAUGCCAGUGUUGGAACCCCACCCCCCUCCUCCUUCCCAUUCAUCCUGAGCCCAAGAGAUCUCCAUAAAAUUGACCUGGAUGCCUUUCAUUCAAGGUUUGUGGGAGUCUGAAGCCCGUCUCAAGAUUUCUCCACUACACUGAGCCAGGAAGAAAAACCGAGCUCCCUGUCUGAUGUCCAGUAAAAGCCAAUUUACAGAAAAUAUUCAUGAAUCUAAGAGAUGUUAGUGACGAUUUGGGGAAAGGAUAAAGGAUAGAGUUUAUACACCAGCAGUGUAAACAAGCACAAGUGAAUUGGCCUCCCAGGUCUCAAAAUGCCCUUCAGCUGUGCAACAUCUUGGAGUUUCACUGAAUUCUUUUGUUUCAGCCCUUCAUCUGGUUGGCUCCUCUUUUACCCUUCUAGGCCUUGGAACUUCAAUUUCUUUUCCUUUUCUCCUCUCCCCCUCUCUCCAUCUCCUUCCUAUUUCCCUGUUUCCUCUCCCUGCCUCUGCCUCUCCUCUUCCCUUUUCUUUCUCCUGGUCUUGCACCCCCAAAACCCACUAAGAUUGCCUACAGUAAAGGGCUCUUCCCUCUGUGUGAUCCCCACUUCCUUAAAGGCAUUAGCAGCAGUUUAUUACCUUGAAACAGAAGGCAGACCAAUUUUUCAGUUUUCAGUGUAAUAAAAAUACUUGAAAUACAUGCCCUGCAGAUAUUAAAAAGAAUCCCCAAGGCUGUGAUUUUGGUUUUCAGCUGGUGUUUGCAGGUUUUUCUUUAGUAGGGUAAUGUUAAGUGAGCUUGUUAGGGUCCUCUGCACCUCUCUGCAUCUUC
ensembl:lncRNA